rnacentral:rRNA from 1 species
UACGUAGGGUGCAAGCGUUAAUCGGAAUUACUGGGCGUAAAGCGUGCGCAGGCGGUUUUGUAAGUCAGAUGUGAAAUCCCCGGGCUUAACCUGGGAACUGCGUUUGAAACUACAAGGCUAGAGUGUGACAGAGGGGGGUGGAAUUCCACGUGUAGCAGUGAAAUGCGUAGAGAUGUGGAGGAACACCGAUGGCGAAGGCAGCCCCCUGGGUUAACACUGACGCUCAGGCACGAAAGCGUGGGGAGCAAACGGG